AAAUGAUUCAGAGGUUAGUAGAUAAAACUUAAAAUGAAGAACAUUUUCGACAUAAAAAAUUUAAGUUUGCUACUUGUACAUGUAUAGGACCUUCCAGACCACGCCUGAGAAGUAACAGAAAUUAUGGCACAGGAUCCUGUAGCCUGCAUCGAACAUCACAGAUAAAUGACGAAUUCAGACGGAGCUCUACAUUCAUUCAUUGCACAACUGGACCAGUUGCCAUUGCUUUAAAAAUAAACAAUGCUUUCAGAAAAUUUAAAU